rnacentral:rRNA from 1 species
UACAGAGGUCUCAAGCGUUGUUCGGAUUCAUUGGGCGUAAAGGGUGCGUAGGUGGCGCGCUAAGUCAGGUGUGAAAUUUCGGAGCUUAACUCCGAAACUGCAUUUGAUACUGGUGUGCUUGAGGACUGGAGAGGAGACUGGAAUUCAUGGUGUAGCAGUGAAAUGCGUAGAUAUCUGGAGGAAUACCGGUGGCGAAGGCGGCAUCCUGGACCGGCAUUGACGCUGAUGAGCGAAAGCUAGGGGAGCAAACGGG